GAUGAACGCUGGCGGCGUGCCUAAUACAUGCAAGUCGAGCGAACAGACGAGGAGCUUGCUCCUCUGACGUUAGCGGCGGACGGGUGAGUAACACGUGGAUAACCUACCUAUAAGACUGGGAUAACUUCGGGAAACCGGAGCUAAUACCGGAUAAUAUAUUGAACCGCAUGGUUCAAUAGUGAAAGACGGUUUUGCUGUCACUUAUAGAUGGAUCCGCGCCGCAUUAGCUAGUUGGUAAGGUAACAGCUUACCAAGGCAACGAUGCGUAGCCGACCUGAGAGGGGGGUCGGCCACACGUGAACGGAGGAAGCGUCCCAACCCCCACGGGGGGGAGCAGGUGGGAAUUCUCCCGAAAGGGGCAAAGCCCGACGGGGCCACGCCCGGGGGGUGAAAAAGGUUUUCGGAUUGUAAAACCUUUUUUUUGGGGAAAAAAAAAUUUGGAAAUAAACUUCCCCGUUCUGGCCGGACCUAAAGAAGAAGCCCCCGUCAACCUCCG
rnacentral:rRNA from 1 species